AGCAGUGGGGAAUAUUGGUCAAUGGGCGAAAGCCUGAUCCAGCCAUGCCGCGUGUGUGAAGAAGGUCUUCGGAUUGUAAAGCACUUUAAGUUGGGAGGAAGGGCAGUAAAUUAAUACUUUGCUGUUUUGACGUUACCGACAGAAUAAGCACCGGCUAACUCUGUGCCAGCAGCCGCGGUAAUACAGAGGGUGCAAGCGUUAAUCGGAAUUACUGGGCGUAAAGCGCGCGUAGGUGGUUCGUUAAGUUGGAUGUGAAAUCCCCGGGCUCAACCUGGGAACUGCAUUCAAAACUGACGAGCUAGAGUAUGGUAGAGGGUGGUGGAAUUUCCUGUGUAGCGGUGAAAUGCGUAGAUAUAGGAAGGAACACCAGUGGCGAAGGCGACCACCUGGACUGAUACUGACACUGAGG
rnacentral:rRNA from 1 species